UCCCUCUUAGUUCAGUUGGUAGAACGCCGGACUGUUAAUCCGUAUGUCCAGUAGAGGGAGCCA
rnacentral:tRNA from 1 species